GUGUCAGCAGCCGCGGUAAUACAGAGGGUGCAAACGUUGCUCGGAAUUAUUGGGCGUAAAGCGCGUGUAGGCGGCUUGUUAAGUCGGUUGUGAAAACCCAUGGCUCAACCAUGGAAGUGCGUCCGAAACUGGCAAGCUAGAGUCUUGACGAGGGUGGCGGAAUUCCCAGUGUAGAGGUGAAAUUCGUAGAUAUUGGGAGGAACACCGGUGGCGAAGGCGGCCACCUGGGAAGGUACUGACGCUGAGACGCGAAAGCGUGGGGAGCAAACAGGAUUAGAUACCCUGGUAGUCCACGCCGUAAACGAUGAGCACUAGAUGUUGCGGGUAUUGACCCCUGCAGUGUCGACGCUAACGCAUUAAGUGCUCCGCCUGGGGAGUACGGCCGCAAGGCUAAA
rnacentral:rRNA from 1 species